UACGUAGGGGGCUAGCGUUGUCCGGAAUCAUUGGGCGUAAAGCGCGCGUAGGCGGCCAGAUAAGUCCGGUGUGAAAGUCACAGGCUCAACCUGUGAAUGCCGCUGGAAACUGUCUGGCUAGAGUCCGGAAGGGGCGAGUGGAAUUCCUGGUGUAGCGGUGAAAUGCGCAGAUAUCAGGAGGAACACCAAUGGCGUAGGCAGCUCGCUGGGACGGUACUGACGCUGAGGUGCGAAAGCGUGGGGAGCAAACAGG
rnacentral:rRNA from 1 species